rnacentral:rRNA from 1 species
UGCAGUCGAACGGUAACAGGAAGAAGCUUGCUUCUUUGCUGACGAGUGGCGGACGGGUGAGUAAUGUCUGGGAAACUGCCUGAUGGAGGGGGAUAACUACUGGAAACGGUAGCUAAUACCGCAUAACGUCGCAAGACCAAAGAGGGGGACCUUCGGGCCUCUUGCCAUCGGAUGUGCCCAGAUGGGAUUAGCUAGUAGGUGGGGUAACGGCUCACCUAGGCGACGAUCCCUAGCUGGUCUGAGAGGAUGACCAGCCACACUGGAACUGAGACACGGUCCAGACUCCUACGGGAGGCAGCAGUGGGGAAUAUUGCACAAUGGGCGCAAGCCUGAUGCAGCCAUGCCGCGUGUAUGAAGAAGGCCUUCGGGUUGUAAAGUACUUUCAGCGGGGAGGAAGGGAGUAAAGUUAAUACCUUUGCUCAUUGACGUUACCCGCAGAAGAANNNNNNGCUAACUCCGUGCCAGCAGCCGCGGUAAUACGGAGGGUGCAAGCGUUAAUCGGAAUUACUGGGCGUAAAGCGCACGCAGGCGGUUUGUUAAGUCAGAUGUGAAAUCCCCGGGCUCAACCUGGGAACUGCAUCUGAUACUGGCAAGCUUGAGUCUCGUAGAGGGGGGUAGAAUUCCAGGUGUAGCGGUGAAAUGCGUAGAGAUCUGGAGGAAUACCGGUGGCGAANGCGGCCCCCUGGACGAAGACUGACGCUCANGUGCGAAAGCGUGGGGAGCAAACANGAUUAGAUACCCUGGUAGUCCACGCCGUAAACGAUGUCNACUUGGANGUUGUGCCCUUGANGCGUGGNUUCCGGANCUAACGCGUUAAGUCGACCG